UAUAUAAGUAAAAUGGCUGUAGUACAUUUCGAAUCAAAAUAUUCUAAACAUUUCAUAAGGAACUAAACUGGAUAUUUCCUCAUUUGACUUUUUCGUUUAACAACUUCAUAUCUUACAAUUCUGACAACAAAUAAUCCAGAUUAAGUUUGUAAAUACAGGUGACCAUGAUGAAGAUAGUAUUAUUAUUAGCUUUAACUGUAGCUGUGUAUUCCUUUCCUAAGGAGAGAUCAUUGCCAUCGCUGAUCAAAUCAAUUUCAAAGAGAUCUGUUCAACAACAUAAUUUGCUCAAACGAUCUGCGAUUGAUAUUUUUGACAAAUUUGAUACAAACCAUGACGGGUUCUUAACUGGUGAAGAAAUGGCCACUUUAUUUUAUGUGUAUGGAUUUCCAGCACCUGAAGCUGAGCUAUUUGGAUUUAAUCAAGUUGAGAUGUUUGAUUUAGAUGGUGAUCAGGUCUUGAGUAGAUGGGAAUUUACAAGAAAUGAAGAAGAAACAGUAAAACCGUUUUUCUUCUGAUCUAGUCAUAGUAUUUUUGACGUGAAUGCAAGAAGAUUAAUAUGUGCUCUUUAAAACUUUGAAUACUGAAUAGAUGGUAUCAGACGUGAUAGCAUGAAUGACAAUGACGGAGAAUGUUGUCUCCUGUUUUGUUAACAUCUCAUUAUUCUAUUUAUUUUGUACAGUUUUAAGCAGAAUAUACAUACUUGUUACUGUCGUCUACAGUUUAUCGGAUCGUUACGAGCAUUCACAUUUUCCAACUGGUAAGACAUGCGCUUUGUAUAGUGACGAAAAGACAUGAUGGCUAUUUCAGACUGAAAGAAUCUCGCCUUUUUAUUUCGCUUUUAGCAAUGCGUUUUCAUUGCUCGGGAAUGAGACAUAUGUUAUUUCUACUUGCUUGGGAAUGAGACAUAUGUUAUAUUUAUGUUCAAGAAUGAGACAUUUGUUAUAUUUAUGAACAGUUGUGUUCUUGUUGUUACAACAAGAAAUUUGCAUUCCAUCCAUUUUCAUUUAUUGAAUAAAUAUUAAAUUUUCUAUAUA